rnacentral:rRNA from 1 species
AUCAACUUUCGAUGGUAGGAUAGAGGCCUACCAUGGUGGUAACGGGUAACGGGGUGUUAGGGCACGACACCGGAGAGGGAGCCUGAGAAACGGCUACCACAUCCAAGGAUGGCAGCAGGCGCGCAAAUUACCCAAUCCCGACACGGGGAGGUAGUGACAAUAAAUAACAAUACGGGGUCCUUUAGGGUUUCGUAAUUGGAAUGAGUACAAUUUAAAUCUCUUAACGAGGAACAAUUGGAGGGCAAGUCUGGUGCCAGCAGCCGCGGUAAUUCCAGCUCCAAUAGCGUAUAUUAAAGUUGUUGCAGUUAAAAAGCUCGUAGUUGAAUUUCGGGAUCAGUACGCCGGUCGUGCCUUCGGUAUGCACUGGUGUCACUGGUUUCUCCCUUCUGAAGAACCAUCAUGCCAUUCAGUUGGUGUGGCGGGGAAUCAGGACUGUUACUUUGAAAAAAUUAGAGUGUUUAAAGCAGGCUCGCGCUUGAAUACAUUAGCAUGGAAUAAUGAAAUAGGACGUUUGACCCUAUUUUGUUGGUUUCUAGGAUCGACGUAAUGAUUAAUAGGGAUAGUUGGGGGCAUUAGUAUUCAAUUGUCAGAGGUGAAAUUCUUGGAUUUAUUGAAGACUAACUACUGCGAAAGCAUUUGCCAAGGAUGUUUUCAUUAAUCAAGAACGAAAGUUAGGGGAUCGAAGACGAUCAGAUACCGUCGUAGUCUUAACCAUAAACUAUGCCGACUAGGGAUCGGAUGAUGUUAAUUUUUUAAUGACUCAUUCGGCGCCUUACGGGAAACCAAAGUGUUUGGGUUC